GAAGUUGGAGUCGCUAGUAAUCGCAGAUCAGCAACGCUGCGGUGAGUACGUUCCCGGGCCUUGUACACACCGCCCGUCACGUCAUGAAAGUCGGUAACACCCGAAGCCGGUGGCCUAACCCUCUGGGAGGGAGCCGUCGAAGGUGGGAUUGGCGAUUGGGACGAAGUCGUAACAAGGUAGCCGUACCGGAAGGUGCGGCUGGAUCACCUCCUUU
rnacentral:rRNA from 1 species